GUAAAGCAGUAUGUUAAGGGUGGAGAGGGCUGAAAGGGGAAGUUCAUAUGCUAUACAUUUAAACCUAACGGAUAAAAAAAGAGACCUCUGCUAUGAUUCAUAAUAUUAUUCCCAUCCUGUUAGAAAGUAAAAGAACAACUCAGCCUGAGUUGAGGAAGUAUUUCUAUUCCUAAAGGGUUUUCAAGCUUGCAGGCUGUGGGAGAACUGUUAAGGAAAAGUUGACAUCUCAUCAUCCCUGAGAACACUCUCCCACAGCUGUCCCCCUCAAUCUCACUGCCAAAUAUUCCUUCACGUGUCUGUAAUGGCCAACUCCACAGCACAAGCAUUUACUGCAACCUCUGCUGAAAGCAACUUUGACACUUCAUCACUCAUACCUGUUCAUCAAUCAGGACCAUACUUUGAAGCUAUAGUUGGAGGUAAGUGUUGUAACAGCUCACAAAUGUACAAAUAUCCAAUAUGCCCUCAACUUACACACACUUUGAAAUGUGCAGCUUUUGCCUUAAGUCACUAUUUCUACCAGAAAGGUAGAAUGACACCUUGGGGUGAGAAUGUGUUAGAUGACAGUUAGAUGACACAUUGGGAUGAGAAUGUGUUGAUUAUUGUGUUACUUGCAAAAACAAAAACAAAUAAAUAAAAAAAUAAAUAAAUAUUCAGAAUGCAUGGGUGUCAGAGGAGAAAGAUGCGUUUUGCCUCCAGAACAUUUUGAGAGCAGCACAUUGAUGAUGGUCAGAGAGGCUUGGGUGAUUUCAGCACAAAUGAGAGGUAAUUUGUGCACAAGAUGUUUUCUGGCCUCAGAAGAUUCUGUGGCUGAGCAAAAAAAAAAAGAAAAGAAAAGAAAAAGAAAAAACAAGUGCCACUGUGGUCUCACUUUAGCUCAUUUACACAUGAAUAAUCAGUGUGUGGCUUUGUUCUCAUCCACAGAAGCAAUUCGAGUCAGUAAAAUCUCAGCAGGGUUCUGAGGAGCCGUGCACUCAUAACCUAUUUCAGACAACUGGGCAUGCAUAUCAGGAUAUAAAUUAGUGUAUUUCAUUGCUUUCAGUUGUCAAGUCUAUCAAUAUUUUCAUUAGCUAAAUUUACACCUGAAUCUAACUUAUUAUCUUGUUAUCUGAUUUCCAUGUCCUCUCACCUUAAUAAAAUGUUGUUUAACUUGGUUCUCUUUUAAAUUCCCACUUGAAUUUAUAGCUAAAGAUGAGUUGAGAACUCCAAAACUAAAAUAUACCAAAUUAUAAGCCAAUUAAUCAGCCAAUAUUUGGCUAUUUUAAUAUAUAGGACAGCUGAGCAGAAGAAGAUGCUGAUAAAUGAAUGAACAAAAUGAAUGUGAGUGGCAGCAAUUUCGUGUAUGAUUUGCCAUCAUUAAAUUGUAUUAUAGCAUCAUUAUUAUGACAAUUAACCACAUUGAUCUUUAGAUAUCAGAUAUAUAUAAACUAUAAAGCACCCCUGAAGUGAGACCACGCCAGCUUCUGAAAAAAUCUGAAGCAAGUCGAUCAGGGUGGGCAGGAAGUAUGGCAGGCGAACGCAGCUCUCGUUCCCUCUCAGGGAACCAGGGUUACAUACGUAACCUGAGACAUUCCCUUUCAAGGGAGCCUCGAGCUGAGUUAGAACGCGGUGGGAACCCCAUACCCACUACACCAUACUGAGAAACACCCGUUCUGUGUGAAGUCUUUGUGCACACCAAGAGGCAAGCAACCUAUAGCCCCUGAAGUGGAGAAGUCAAGGUCAUAAAAUCUAUCAAAUGUAUGCAGAGAGGACCAUCCUGCUGCAUUACAAAUGUCAAGAAGGGAAACACCCUGAAUCAAGGCCGUUAGAGGCCGCCAUAACCCUAGUAGAAUGGGCCCGAACAGCCAUAGGUGAAGGCUGUUCGGCUACUUCAUAAGCCAAUGAUAUAGCCUCGACUAUCCAUUUGCUCAUAACCUGUUUAGAUGCAGGGGACCCAACUCUUGAGUGACCCAAAGUGGACAAAUAAUUGUUCAGACUUACGCCACAGGGCAGCUCUGUGAACGUAGGCAUCUAAUGCCCGAACUGGAGAUAACAGGUUCAGUCGUUCAUGAUCUGGGGUAUUAAAAGGUGGAGGAUAAAAUGCCUGCAGCACUAUAGGUCCCCCAACUAGUGCAGGUCUAAACCUCAGUGUACUGUACCACGGAGAAAACGCGUAAUAAGAGGAUCUCGAUUGAACAGCCACUUCGGUGCCCUGAAACGGAUAACCGGCAGGGAACAACUGACUUGACUGUUCUAUAACCCUCCUCGGAGGACCGUUUGGGGAUGCAGACACCUCGGUGCCCUGAAACCGAUAACCGGCAGGAAACAACCGAACUGACAGCGCUGCGACUCCCCUCAGAGAAUCGCACCCCAGAGGAAAAACGAUUUCUCAAAACCAUCCCUUGGUUGCACAGUCACUACGGUGCCCUGAAGCGACGAACCGGCAGGGAACAACCAAACUGACCGUUAUCCAACCCUCCUCAGAGGAUCGUAUGGGGACGCUGACACCUCGGUGCCCUGAACGGCGAACCAGCAGGGAACAACUGAACUGGCAGCGCUGCGACCCUCCUCAGAGAGUCACACCCCAGAGGUCGCUGAGGAAAAACGAUUUCUUAAAACCGUCCCUGCCCCGGAGGAGCCCUCAGAAGCCUGAUAGCCUUGUUUUUUGUGACAGUACUUUUUUUCUAAGCUUUAUUAGAGAUAACGACAGUCCUCAGAUCUUGCCUACCUCUAACUACCUUAGUUCCUACGACCCCCCUCGGAGGAUCAUUGGAAAAAGCAGCUUUUUAUAUUUGAAGGCUCGUUUGGGGACACUGACACCUUGGUGCCCUGAAACGGCGAACCGGCAGGGUUUUGUACUUUGUGCUGCGAGGAGCUUAAUAGGCUGAGACUGCUCCCGUCCAGCAGUCUCAGGAACAUUAGAUUGGUGAGGAAGAAACCUUUGGAAUGCCGCUGAAUGGCUUGUUUCUUAGUCUUCUUGAAAGUGGAGCGUCCAGAAGAACAGACAUAUUUAUAUCUUUAUUGUCCCUUUUUUUUACAUCAGAAAAAACAUAAAUAUAUACACAUAGGCCAAUAUAUAGUUCUGUGGCCACCAGCGGGAAAAAACCGAACUGGCAGCGCUGUGACCCUCCUCCUCUGAGAGUCGCCCCUCACAUUCUUCCAUGUCCUUAUAUACACUUUACCCACCAGGGCUGCCUAAUAAAAAUGUAUUCAUUAUUUAUGAUGGCUGGUGGGUAACGUCGGGGUUAAUAACGAUGACACCGACUUGGGAUAGAGAAAGCUCGUAAGCGUCACUUUAACCUGAGGCACUGUCAUACUAUGAUACUCAAUACCCAAACAUUACUAGUUAGACAUCUGGGGAUUAAACGCAUAAAAUACAAACCGGUUUAUUCCACAAUCUCGACACCUCAGUGAGAUAAGGGAAAAAAACGCAGUCACCUACGAGGAGGCUGAGAUAAAGAGUUUUUCUGUUUUAAGAUAAAUUUCAUCUAAAAAAAAAAAAAAA